AAAUAUUUGGCACCCAUCGCGCUUCCGAUACUUGGUUUUAUACUUUCAUCGGAACUUCGGGUAUUCUGGUCGAUUCCAUCUUCACCUUCUCCUCUACUUCUCUAUCUUCAACUCCUUCGUCACUUUCCAAUCCCUAAUUCUCUUGCUUCUCCUCUCUUCUAAAUCUCUAAUUUCGAAAACAAGCAUCAAGAACGCACCGACCUUGACAUUUUUAGGAGCUCUCCGAUGGCGAUUUUGAAGAGCUUGUGAUUAUCUGUAGGUUGUAGUGGUAGAAAAAUCGCACCUCUCCUACGGCAGCGAGUUCUCGCAAGCAGGUGGCGCAAUAGGAGGCUGAGCGGUCCAAAUUCGUUGUGAUGAAGGCCGAGCAGGAGCGACGGGCCACGAUUAUCCGCAAUCCGGCAAAGCUAAUCACUGACUACCUCGACUAGAUUUUACAAAUAUUCUUACUUUAUAUUUUUCCCUGUUGCAGAAUAAAUUUAGAUGUUCCCGAAAGAUAUCAGCGAGUUCACCUUGCUCAGUUCUCUGUCAUUCUUGACAUGAUGAGAUUGCAACUUGCUAGCUACAUUUUAUAUUUAUGUACUUUUUAGUUCAUAGUGAUAUUUUCUUGACUUAUUUGCUUAUAUUUUCGUAGUCUUUGAAAAGGUCAAUAUCGAAGGCAACCUUGAAGUGAAUGUCUAGUUUGUUUGGUUCCUUAAUAUAUAUAACUAUUGCAUCAUUAAUUUUGAUUGGUACUUUCUUUUGAAGGAAUUAUGCGUCAACAAAGCAGUGCUGCUGAAAAUCUCAAUCCUUCAAAGCUUAGAAGGAAUGCUUAUGCUGCAUCUGAUAUAAGUAGAAUUGCUUCUCAGGUGGUCGAACACUUCCAGUUCAGUAUACUUUGCCCACCCCUACUGAGAAACUGGACUUGUUAAGGAACUUGGGAGCAAACUUAGCCAUUGAUUAUACAAAGGGGCUGCUUGAAGAUCUAGAAGAAAAAUUUGAUGUAGUAUACGAUAUAGUAGGCAGAGUGAGAUUGAUAGAACAUUGAAGGCUGUUAAAGAAAAUGGGAAAGUUGUGAUAGUAGCAACACAUGGAAGUUCUUCAGAUAUCUUUGUAAUGCUCAUACAAUGUAUAUUCCCUGCCCAUCAUUGACAUAAUUCGGGGUUUUGGAUUGAAUAUAUUGAAAGCCAUGAUGGAAAGAAAGAAGAACAAACUAUGAUCAAGCUUUGUUGUUGAGGUAGAUCAAAUAUUUUAUUGCUGUAUUAGAGGACAAAUUACAGCAUUUAGAUGCUGAUAUGUCAGGUUGCAGUUUUCUUUUUCACUUGUAAACUUUUAUGAAAACAUCAACACUGCUCUACUUUGUGCAAGAGGCAAACAGACACGUGACAAGGAUAGAUGUGUUUAGGAUACACUUAGCAAAAUCAAUAGGUGAUCAACACCCAAAUAAGUUCCCAAGGAAGAGGCUGUGCAGUUGUGCAGGUGAUGAACUGAAAUUAUGUUUCAUUGUCACCCCAACUGCUUGCAUCACACUAGCCACAUAAAAAAUGCCCCACUCUAAUGCUCAUACCUACAUACAUAACAAAGACUCAACCCAACCAUAUCCUUAAACGCUCUGAAAGACCAUAUGCAGCUACAUGUAGC